rnacentral:rRNA from 1 species
AACUUAUCUCUUAUUUGCUCUUACAUUUAUAUGUUAGUAUAAAACCCUACUCAACUCAUUAUAACUGAAAAGUUUACAAUUUAAUUCAUUGCAGUUAUUUUAACGUACCUUUUGCAUCAUGGUAUAACUAGUUUAUCACUAUUAGUUCACCCCGAAAAUUCCCCGAGCUGGGGGGGCGCUAAUCAAGAUACCCAUACUACAAUGUUACAAUAUUGUGAUAAGACUUUCCCCCAGAGGCUACAUACCCACGCGGAAAUUGAUAGCUGGUUGCGUCAAUAAUCGAUUUUAGUCGAUAAAGCCUAUUGCUGUAAAAACAUUAAAGGCAAAGCUUUAAUGUAGACUCUAUUUAGCAACAUCUUUAUUUAACAUAAGCUUAAUACCGGCUAAUAACCCGUUCUUGGGGCGUAUAAUCCUAACUUUAAUCAUAAAAACUUGAGCUAAAAUACGCAACUUUCUAACCUUAAGACCUUCUUAUAAUGUUAUAACUAGUAUACUUUACCCAAUUAUACAUGUAUAGCUACAUAAAACAAAUUAUAUAAUUUUAUAUUCAAAUAAGGAACUCGGCAAACAUUUAUUCAGCCUGUUUAACAAAAACACCGCCUACUGAAAAUAUAGUAGGUCCAUCCUGCCCAGUGAUUUUUUAAUUCAACGGCCGCGGUAUCCUGACCGUGCAAAGGUAGCAUAAUCAUUUGCUUUUUAAUUGAAGGCUAGUAUGAAAGGACAAACAAGAAUAAAGCUGUCUCAUUUGAAUUUUUUAUAAACUGAUAAUCAGGUGAAGAAGCCUGAACCACUAUAAAGGACAAGAAGACCCUAUAGAGCUUUACUGGCUAUAGUCAUCACACUAAAUACCAGUUUGGUUGGGACAACCAAAAGACACAAUUACCUCUUUUAAUAAAUCAAAAAUACACACCCAAUAAUGUAUUAAAAAUAGCUACCUUAGGGAUAACAGGCUAAUCCCACUAGAGAGACCACAUUGACAGUGGGGUUUGGCACCUCGAUGUUGGCUUAGUGUAACUUCUCGGCGCAGCCGCCUAGAAAAGUUGGUUUGUUCAACCAUUAAAUCACUACAUGAGCUGAGUUCAGACCGGCGUAAGCCAGGUUAGAUUCUAUCCUUAUAAACUAAAAUUAAACCAUAGUACGAAAGGACCUGGCAUUAAAGAUAAUAUCUAUAUAAAUUUCUCUACAUU